ACACUCAGUGAAUGUGAUGAUUGAGUUUUCACACUCAUGUGUGAGAUGUGCCUCCCUCAAAUCUUGUUAUGAUGUUGGCACAUUACCUGGCUAACA
ensembl:snoRNA